rnacentral:rRNA from 1 species
ACGGGUGAGUAAUACAUCGGAACGUAUCCUGGAGUGGGGGAUAGCCCGGCGAAAGCCGGAUUAAUACCGCAUACGCUCUGAGGAGGAAAGCGGGGGACCUUCGGGCCUCGCGCUCAAGGGGCGGCCGAUGGCGGAUUAGGUAGUUGGUGGGGUAAAGGCCUACCAAGCCGACGAUCCGUAGCUGGUCUGAGAGGACGACCAGCCACACUGGGACUGAGACACGGCCCAGACUCCUACGGGAGGCAGCAGUGGGGAAUUUUGGACAAUGGGGGCAACCCUGAUCCAGCAAUGCCGCGUGUGUGAAGAAGGCCUUCGGGUUGUAAAGCACUUUUGUCCGGAAAGAAAUCAUCGGGACCAAUACCCCUGGUGGAUGACGGUACCGGAAGAAUAAGCACCGGCUAACUACGUGCCAGCAGCCGCGGUAAUACGUAGGGUGCGAGCGUUAAUCGGAAUUACUGGGCGUAAAGCGUGCGCAGGCGGUGCUGUAAGACCGAUGUGAAAUCCCCGGGCUUAACCUGGGAACUGCAUUGGUGACUGCAGCGCUGGAGUAUGGCAGAGGGGGGUGGAAUUCCACGU